CGGAGCCUGAGUUAGUCGAAUAGACCAUCCACAAGUAAAGACUGGUGCUUCUGGCUUCUUGGUAGUUGGUGUUACUUGGUGGGCAGAGACCAGCGGUGCUCUGCCCCGCAGUCAGCGUUACACCCGUUGUCUCCUCUCCCUGAAACUCACCCUGCUGCUAGGGAGGGAGGAUGAUGCUCUCCUCUAGCUGUGACUCUGUCUACUGCUGGGUAGAG